AUUGAACGCUGGCGGCAGGCCUAACACAUGCAAGUCGAACGGUAACAGGAAGCAGCUUGCUGCUUUGCUGACGAGUGGCGGACGGGUGAGUAAUGUCUGGGAAACUGCCUGAUGGAGGGGGAUAACUACUGGAAACGGUAGCUAAUACCGCAUAACGUCGCAAGACCAAAGAGGGGGACCUUCGGGCCUCUUGCCAUCGGAUGUGCCCAGAUGGGAUUAGCUAGUAGGUGGGGUAACGGCUCACCUAGGCGACGAUCCCUAACUGGUCUGAGAGGAUGACCAGCCACACUGGAACUGAGACACGGUCCAGACUCCUACGGGAGGCAGCAGUGGGGAAUAUUGCACAAUGGGCGCAAGCCUGAUGCAGCCAUGCCGCGUGUAUGAAGAAGGCCUUCGGGUUGUAAAGUACUUUCAGCGGGGAGGAAGGGAGUAAAGUUAAUACCUUGGCUCAUUGACGUUACCCGCAGAAGAAGCACCGGCUAACUCCGUG
rnacentral:rRNA from 1 species